rnacentral:misc_RNA from 1 species
ACCCAGCGAAGCGGGUACUUGCAGCUAGUACUAUAUAAAAUUUAAUUUAUUAUUAUUGAUCGUGCGCAACAAUAAUUAUUUUUAAAUAAUAUUAUCACAAACAAUUGUCAUUUAAGGAAUAUUAAUAAUUACAAUCAUGUUCAGGGAUAAAAAAGACGGUGAUUUAAUACUCAAGCAUAAAAUCAUUGAAGAAACUGUACGCAAAGAAAAAGAAUGUCAAAAAAUUUAUACCAAUUAUACCGUAAAUCCGUAUAAAUUAGGAGAUAUUAUGGCAUCAAAAUUUUAUUCUAAAUACGAAUCUGUUUCUGUUCCCGAGGAUCAUAAAGAAGGGGAGCUAAUGUUGAAAAUGCCUCUGUAUUUGUUAAAGAUAUGCCAUUUUAAGAAAUAUGAGAUGUAUUUUCUCAAAUUUAAUUUUAUAUUUGGUAUAUAUGGAAUAUACAAAAUAUUUGGGCCUGCUUACUUGCGAUUUACUCUUAAUUUGGCACUUAGACAAUGCGAGUUUAGAAGUUAUCAAACGUUCGAAGACAAUCCCUGCUAACAGAUUUCCAUAUCCUCUGACUGAAUCACAGCACAUGACGUGGAUAACUGAUGAAAUGAUACCGGUACCAAUAGACAAAAAUGACAUCAGACUCUAUCAUCCUAAGAAACGAAGCUCCAUUACAAAAUUCAUGGAUUACUAUUUUUCAUGUAAUAAAAACAAAAAUAAUUAAAGUGAAAAAUAAAUUAAUAAAAUUGAAGCACACCAAAAUUAUCUGUUAAAAUUAUCUAACAUUUUAAAACAUAU